UCUCUAGGAAGCAAGUUUUCAACCAUGGACAAUUCUUGGGAAGGAAUUGUAAAUACAUGCAAAUCAUAUGAAUAAGUGGGUGAAGACUUGAUAAAACCACUCAAUUAAACACAAUAUAAACCAUAAAAUAGUGGUUUAUCACACGCAU